rnacentral:rRNA from 1 species
AGUGAACGCUGGCGGUAGGCCUAACACAUGCAAGUCGAACGGCAGCACAGUAAGAGCUUGCUCUUACGGGUGGCGAGUGGCGGACGGGUGAGGAAUACAUCGGAAUCUACUUUUUCGUGGGGGAUAACGUAGGGAAACUUACGCUAAUGCCGCAUACGACCUACGGGUGAAAGUAGGGGAUCUUCGGACCUUGCGCGAUUGAAUGAGCCGAUGUCGGAUUAGCUAGUUGGCGGGGUAAAGGCCCACCAAGGCGACGAUCCGUAGCUGGUCUGAGAGGAUGAUCAGCCACAAUGGAACUGAGACACGGUCCAGACUCCUACGGGAGGCAGCAGUGGGGAAUAUUGGACAAUGGGCGCAAGCCUGAUACAGCCAUACCGCGUGGGUGAAGAAGGCCUUCGGGUUGUAAAGCCCUUUUGUUGGGAAAGAAAAGCAGCAGGUUAAUACCCCGCUGUUCUGACGGUACCCAAAGAAUAAGCACCGGCUAACUUCGUG